ensembl:lncRNA
UUAGGAGAAUUUACCCAGCAGGUUAGGAUAAUUUACCCAGCAGGUUAGGAGAAUUUACCCAGCAGGUUAGGAUAGUUAACGUGGCAGGUUAAGAGACUUGGGUUAAGGUUAGGAAAGGUUAGGGUUAGCUAAAAUGCUCUCCUAACCUGCUACUAAAAGUCAUACUUGCACACUAGUCAGAACUGAGCUUCACAGGGUCCGGACGUCAUUUAGACAUUAAUUGUAGCCAUGGACGCGCUGUAGAGUUGCUAUUGGGCGCAUUUGAGUGGUAAGUCGAACGCAGCAGACUUCUGGAGACAACUUCGACUGUUUCUAGAAAACACAACAAUGGCAGACAUUCACCUUCGGGUUAUUGCCGAUGAAGUGGAUGCUAUCAAAAUUCCUCUUCUCCUUCUCGGUAUUGGAUACAUUUGUGCUCAUCGGACAUUGAUGACUCAUAAUUUCUUCCUGAGACCAACA